CCUUUUUUUUUGCUUUGAAAUCUGCCAGCUCUUGGAAUCAGCCUCUACCAGGCCCCUCGGGUUUCGGGCUGGAGGAAGUGAGCAGGGAAGGUGGAGGAAAAACCAGCGUGUGCUGCUCUGUAGCCGGGAGAAUGGUCCUCCUCUGAGACCCAGAGGAUGCAAGCGCCCCCGACUCAGAUGUGCAGCUAAUGAGAAUAAGGCGCUCAUUACUUGAAGAUUGCAUUGUUGAUCAACAUAAUGCUGGUGCCAAAUGCUUGGUUUAACAGCUGGUUGUUUGCUCUUUGGCCCCUCAUCAGAUGGUGAGGUCAAGAAUUCAAGUUUUAAAAUGUGGAAACCCAGUCAUUGUGAUUUCACUCUUACGUUGUGACUCUAACAGGACACAAGGACAUUUUUAUUCAACAAACAGACGAAAAACGUAAAAAUUCAACUGUUGACGUUUUAUUUUGUGAUUUCUGUACAGUUCAGGAGGGACAGAGUUAGAGGUCAAAUAAAAUGCCAGUUAAA
rnacentral:lncRNA from 1 species